GAUCUUGUAGAACAAAUGUAUUAUCUUUAUGUUCGUGUUGAAAAAGCAAGAGAUCUCCCUAUCAACCCUUUGACUGCAAGCUGUGAUCCCUAUGUUGAAGUCAAACUCGGAAACUACAAAGGAAAAACACAGCAUUUUGAAAAGAGAACAUACGCAGAAUGGAAACAAGUGUUUGCGUUUUCAAAAGAGAAAAUACAAUCAACUGUUCUUGAAGUUUACGUGAAAGAUAAAGACAUGAUUGCAAGAGAUGAUUAUUUAGGGAAAGUCGUGUUUGACAUGAAUGAAGUCCCGACACGGGUCCCACCAGACAGCCCGUUAGCACCUCAAUGGUAUCGGUUAGAAGAUCGAAAAGGAGACAGAAAAGUCAAAGGAGAGGUGAUGCUUGCAGUUUGGAUGGGGACACAAGCGGAUGAAGCUUUUUCAGAAGCAUGGCAUUCAGAUGCUGCAACUGUUCAUGGUGAAGGUGUUUUUAGUGUGAGAUCAAAAGUUUAUGUUUCUCCUAAACUUUGGUAUCUUAGAGUUAAUGUAAUCGAAGCACAUGAUGUCGAAUCGGCUGACAAAAGUCAACUCCCGCAAGUUUUUGUCAAAGCUCAACUCGGGAACCAGAUACUAAAGACGAAAUUGUCCCCAACAAAAACAACAAAUCCGAUGUGGAACGAGGAUUUGGUGUUUGUAGCAGCCGAGCCGUUUGAAGAACAGUUAGUUCUCACACUCGAAAACAAAGCAACUUCAAAAGAAGAGAUCGUGGGUAGAAUCGUCCUUCCACUUACCGCGUUUGAAAAACGGUUAGAUCAUCGAACUGUUCAUUCAAAAUGGUACAAUCUUGAACAAUUUGGAUUUGCAAUGUUGGAAGGUGGACAAAGAAUGGAGCUUAAAUUCUCAACUAGGAUUCAUCUAAGAGUGUGUCUAGAAGGUGGUUACCAUGUUCUAGAUGAAUCUACAAUGUAUAUAAGCGAUCAACGACCCACGGCCCGUCAAUUAUGGAAAAAACCAAUCGGAAUCCUCGAAAUCGGGAUUUUAAGCGCGCAAGGACUUCAAGGGAUGAAAACGAAAGACGGAAAGAAAACAACAGACGCGUAUUGUGUAGCGAAAUACGGACAAAAAUGGGUGCGAACGCGUACGAUUUUGGAGAGUUUUAACCCGAAAUGGAACGAACAGUAUACGUGGGAAGUAUACGACCCGUGUACGGUUGUUAGUUUGGGGGUAUUUGACAAUGCCCAUUUAGGCGGGAAUGGAAACGGAGGGAGUGGAAAGGAUUCGAGAAUUGGAAAGAUAAGAAUCCGGUUAUCGACAUUGGAAACGGAUCGAAUCUACACGCAUUCGUAUCCGCUUCUUGUUUUACAGCCUUCGGGGUUGAAAAAAACCGGUGAGUUACAGUUAGCGUUUCGGUUUACUUGUUUAUCGUUAGCGAAUAUGAUUUAUCUUUAUAGUCAACCUUUACUACCUAAAAUGCAUUAUCAACAUCCGUUGACUAUAAGUCAGCUGGAUACAUUAAGAUAUCAAGCCAUGAACAUUGUGGCAAUUCGGUUGGGAAGAGCCGAGCCUCCGUUAAGAAGAGAAGUGGUUGAAUACAUGUUGGAUGUUGACUCGCAUAUGUGGAGUAUGAGAAGAAGUAAAGCGAAUUUUUUUCGAAUUGUUUCGGUUUUCACGGGUGUGAUUUCAAUGAGUAAGUGGUUAGGAGAUGUUUCGAAUUGGAAAAAUCCCGUAACUACCCUCCUGGUUCAUGUUCUUUUUUUUAUAUUGGUUUGUUUUCCGGAGUUGAUUCUUCCAACUGGAUUCCUGUAUAUGUUUCUUAUUGGAGUAUGGAAUUACCGAUUCCGUCCGCGUCAUCCGCCACAUAUGGACACGAAGCUGUCGUGGGCUGAAGCUGUUCAGCCGGAUGAAUUGGAUGAAGAGUUUGAUUCUUUUCCUUCUUCAAAGCCACAGGAUGUGACGAAGAUGAGGUAUGAUAGGCUUAGGAGUGUGGCUGGAAGGAUACAGACAGUGGUUGGGGAUAUUGCAACACAAGGGGAGAGGUUUCAGGCGUUGCUGAGCUGGCGGGACCCGAGGGCGACCUGUUUGUUUGUGGUUCUAUGUCUUGUGGUAGCUGUUGCUCUGUAUGUGACGCCUUUUAAGCUUGUUGUUUUGGGGAUGGGUUUGUUUUUGUUGAGGCAUCCGAGGUUUAGAAGCAAGAUGCCUUCAGCGCCUAGUAAUUUCUUCAGGAGAUUACCAGCUCGAGCUGAUAGCAUGCUUUGAGGAAGGAGAAGUAAAGGGAAACUAUAGAGUGUUUGGUAUACGAUAUUGUCUUCAUUUUGUAAUUUGUAUUAUGAUUUGAUGUUUUGUUUCGAUUGAAUGUUCAAGUUUAAGUGCUUCAAAAAUUCACUAGCUCAUCUCAUAGACAGAGUAUGUUUUACUGAUUCAAACUUCAGAAUUUAUGAAAUCUCGUCUAAAUUUGAGGACAUUAUAGUCUUCCACAAAAAAUUUGAUUCAAACUUACAGCAUAAAAAUAGCAUUCCUACAAACUUUAAUUCAUCAAAUAGUAGGAUGAAUCUGUAAAUCUCAGCAAAUUCAUCGUAGUGUAGUUCCAGAAAUUACGAAAUAAGGAAGAAAAAAAAAAGCAAGGUAGGAAUUGUUGAUGCAAAAAACGGAGAAGGAUAAAGGAUACCGUCCGAAAGAGCGUAAUGCCAUUGCGAUGAAGAGAGACGGCAGUCAUCGCCGGAAGAGAAGAGAAAGAGAGGCGACAACCCCUUCUUCCCCAAACCACCUCUGCCAUCCUUCUCUUUCCUAAACCCUAAAUUAUUUUCUGAAAAUCUUCGCUUUCUUACUCCUCGCUUAAUUUCCAUUGUAUCUGGUUGGAUGAAUUAGGGUAUUAUGGGAAGACGAGCAAAUUAGAAGAGUUUGCGUUUUUCAAAAAAUAGUCAUUCAUUAGCGUCUUUAUGAAAUCGGCUUUUCCAAGCUGCUCUUGCUCUCAUGUGAUUUUUCGCUAUAAGGCUGGGCGGAGUAAUCACAGCAUUUGCCGAACUCCAUAUCUAAAAAAAAUGGGGUAAGAAGUUAGGAAGAGGAAGAAGAGAGAGACUCGAGUUGCCCUUCCAAGCUCAGUAUGACAUACCGAGUUCAAGGGCGGUGUUCGUCGAGUCCAUGUCAUCACUGCCGAAUCGCUCUGUGAAGUCUAAAAAUCUGAAAUCUUUCAUGGAUAUGGAGGGAAUGUGAGGAUGAUACUUAAAAUUUUCAUUUUGAGAGAAA
rnacentral:lncRNA from 1 species